UGCGGUGGGCGACCCAUUCAUAUGGGUAUGAGUCGAGGCCCCGGAGCAUUUUCUUGAUAUUAGAACUAGAAACAGAGAUGAGGUGUGCAUGUAAAGCGAAACAAAUGACGGGAGGGGCGAGGGAAGAAAACGGGCACAUGCAUUUGUAGCGUGGAAUGGGACGGGCGCAAUUAGACCAGCACUAAUGCACCGAAUCCCAUAAGAACUUUACAGUU
rnacentral:lncRNA from 1 species